rnacentral:rRNA from 1 species
UACGUAGGUGGCAAGCGUUGUCCGGAUUUACUGGGUGUAAAGGGCGUGUAGCCGGGCUUACAAGUCAGAUGUGAAAUCCGGGGGCUCAACCCCCGAACUGCAUUUGAAACUGUAGGUCUUGAGUAUCGGAGAGGCAGACGGAAUUCCUAGUGUAGCGGUGAAAUGCGUAGAUAUUAGGAGGAACACCAGUGGCGAAGGCGGCCUGCUGGACGACAACUGACGGUGAGGCGCGAAAGCGUGGGGAGCAAACAGG